GGCGUGCCCAAACAAGCAACUCAUAUAAUAAUGGGGAUAAGGCCCAUAAGUAUCUACCGGACGACCAUUGCAAUUGUCCGACUAUGAGUGAAUAGCGCAGCCGG
rnacentral:ncRNA from 1 species